rnacentral:rRNA from 1 species
GUGGGGAAUAUUGGACAAUGGGCGAAAGCCUGAUCCAGCCAUGCCGCGUGUGUGAAGAAGGCCUUUUGGUUGUAAAGCACUUUAAGCGAGGAGGAGGCUACCGAGAUUAAUACUCUUGGAUAGUGGACGUUACUCGCAGAAUAAGCACCGGCUAACUCUGUGCCAGCAGCCGCGGUAAUACAGAGGGUGCAAGCGUUAAUCGGAUUUACUGGGCGUAAAGCGCGCGUAGGUGGCCAAUUAAGUCAAAUGUGAAAUCCCCGAGCUUAACUUGGGAAUUGCAUUCGAUACUGGUUGGCUAGAGUAUGGGAGAGGAUGGUAGAAUUCCAGGUGUAGCGGUGAAAUGCGUAGAGAUCUGGAGGAAUACCGAUGGCGAAGGCAGCCAUCUGGCCUAAUACUGACACUGAGGUGCGAAAGCAUGGGGAGCAAACAGGAUUAGAAACCCUUGUAGUCC